GACAGAGGUGCCGAGCGUUAGGCGGAAUCACUGGGCUUAAAGCGUGUGUAGGCGGGCGGGCAAGUACCUUGUGAAAUCCCACGGCUCACCCGUGGAACUGCUGGGCAUACUGGGAGUCUUGAGCCACCUAGGGGCGAGCGGAACAAAUGGUGGAGCGGUGAAAUGCGUAGAUAUCAUUUGGAACGCCAACGGAGAAAUCAGCUCGCUGGGGGUGUGCUGACGCUGAGACACGAAAGCCAGGGGAGCGAACGGG
rnacentral:rRNA from 1 species